rnacentral:rRNA from 1 species
UACGGAGGGUGCAAGCGUUAUCCGGAUUCACUGGGUUUAAAGGGUGCGUAGGAGGGCAGGUAAGUCAGUGGUGAAAUCUCCAAGCUUAACUUGGAAACUGCCGUUGAUACUAUCUGUCUUGAAUAUUGUGGAGGUGAGCGGAAUAUGUCAUGUAGCGGUGAAAUGCUUAGAUAUGACACAGAACACCAAUUGCGAAGGCAGCUCGCUAAACUGACAUUGACGCUGAGGCACGAAAGCGUGGGGAUCAAACAGG